GUGGGCGUAGCUCAACGGUAGAGCACUGGUCUGUGGAACCAGGUGUUACGGGUUCGAGCCCCGUCGUCCACC
rnacentral:tRNA from 1 species